GACGAUAGGGAGCAAGCAGGGGAGCCGGGCUUAGAUCAGCGGAGCGGACCACAGACUAACAGUGAGAGCAGAGGCCAGAGGAAAUUAUCUCCCACUAAGCCACAAAUCUCUUCCCUUUCUUUUCUCUGGUCCAUUUUUUUCUUCUCUGUUCUUUCUUCCCCCUCUCCUCCCCCCCUUUUUCUUUUGUUUUUAUUUAUACCUUUGUUUUCUGUUCUUUUUCACAUCUUUGUUAGUAUGUUGGGAUGCUUUUCAGAUCUCUUAAUUAUGAAUAGCGAAUAUUUUGCACUUGCAGCUAUUUGCUCUCCAGCUAAUUGGAUCACCUCAGUUUUAUCCCCAUACACUGCUGCAGUUAGUUUUUGUGCUCUCUGCUCUUCUCUUUCUAUCUUCUCUCUCAUCAUCUCUGUUUCACCAGGAGUAUUUGGCGAGUCUUGUAGUGUCCAGCAGACGUGUUGGUUGGAGGGUGACGGAGGCUGGGGGCCUGUUGUCCUGGUUGCUGGUGUCAGGGAGAUGGAGGUUCAUGCAUACUGAUGCUGUUUGAACUUCUCCUAAAGUGAUUAUUUAUGCACAGCCAGACCCGCUCAGCUGAGCCAGGAUUAACUUCAUGAAAAUGCAAAAGGGCAUGGAGGAAGGUGCGCGCGCGCACACACACACACACACACACACACACACACACACACACACACACACAGUGGCG